AUCUGUAAUCUUAUAUAAUUUUAUAUAAUACUUAUUAAUUUUUUAAAAAAAUAUACAGUCAUAUAAAUAUUCUAUUAACUUGAUUUAUUAUCUAUGUAGUAGUAUCUUUGAUUCUUUAAUUAUCAAACUUAUAUUCAUAAUUAUAUCUAUGCUUUCUAUAUCCAAAUUAUAUUCGUAUCUAUUUAAAAUAAAUAUGAAUAUAAAUUUUUUCAUCUGAAUAAUAUUUAUAUCCGUAUUCAUAUUCAUCGGAUAAAAUAAAUAUGGAUAUACUGAUAUCCAACUUGUAUUCGAUCCGAUUUCAAUCUUAAGAUACAACCAAAAGCACGGGAGUAUUUCUUUGGCCUACAGACUUCAGACCCUGUGCUAUUAGAUCUAUAGGUUCUCUAGGGCUGUCCCAUCGGUAACCUUGGAUUUGGAUCAAAUCCCUGUCUAUAAAUGCACCCUCUUAUGUAUUAUUGAAUGCAACGUCACUAUCGAAUGUUUUGGUCUUGAACGCUCAUAAUUUCUUCCAUGGAAACUGCAGGCUAGAAAUAAAACCAUGGAACCAAGGAUGCAAGGAAUUCUUUUGUUUCUAGAUAAGGAGAUCCGCUCCUACUUUAACUACUCAGUUUUAAAUACUUUAAUUGCAUCAUCCAAGACUCCCAGCCUCUGGCUGCAAAGCAGAGAAAUGUUAUCACCAGGACAAGCCCUAAUUCUCAUACAAGGGACUUUCAAACAGCUUAGAAA
rnacentral:lncRNA from 1 species